AAGUAAGCGAAGAACAAGAGUAGUAAUUUGUAGGACUUCUUAAGAGAGCUGAUGGUUGGUGUAAAUCAGUGUGGGAUACAUAUGAACGUGCUUGGGAGCUUUUAAAUCGAAUGAUUGAGGUUUAAACGUAUUAAUCGGCGUUAACGAUUUAAGUGCUAGUGUUUACACUAGAACUAAGGUGGUACCACGGAAAAUUUCGUCCUUAGC
rfam:complete chromosome Acholeplasma brassicae.